ACGUAGGGAGCGAGCGUUGUCCGGAAUUACUGGGCGUAAAGGGUGCGUAGGCGGUUUGGUAAGUCAGAUGUGAAAUACCCGGGCUUAACCCGGGGGCUGCAUCUGAUACUGUCAGACUUGAGUGCAGGAGAGGAAAGCGGAAUUCCUAGUGUAGCGGUGAAAUGCGUAGAUAUUAGGAGGAACACCAGUGGCGAAGGCGGCUUUCUGGACUGUAACUGACGCUGAGGCACGAAAGCGUGGGGAGCAAACAG
rnacentral:rRNA from 1 species